UUAAAGAAAGAAUAAAAAAAAACCAAAACGAGCGAAAUGAUGCGGAACAUGGCGAGGCUGAGGAAAACGUUUGUGUGGUGGGACAUCAAGAGCUGUCCGAUUCCAGCUGGUUUCGAUCCUUGUCUGGUCGGUCGGAGAAUAGAAUCGGCGUUGAAGAAAUCAGGCUACUCUGAUCCUGUCACCAUCACUGCCGUCGGCGACCUAAGAGAGGGAAAGGGCCCUGGUGAAGACGUCCUGCGCAAGCUUUCUUCCAGUGGAAUCGCUCUUAACCAUGCCAGUGGUUAGUCUUAGUUCAUCUCUAAUUUCCAUCUCUAAAAUUCUGCUAAUUUAUAUUUUUAAUACAAGUAUAAAUGGAUUUCCCCCUUAAUUAGGGUUUAUGUUCAACGUUGCUACUUGAUGCCUUCCUUUUACUGAAACAGUACCUACAUCGAUGAAUACGACCUGGAAGGAUCCAUCUCCGCGUACUCUAAUGCUCAUAUUUGGUGGUCCUGAGGAACUGGAAUAUUUACCUCGUACACUUCGGUAUGAAUGACUACGGAUUCAGAAUUCUUCUGGCAUAUCAUCAACGAGAUCCAGCCUGGCACUCGGAAAGCUUUCUAAGUAACGUUCGUAAAGAGUGGCUCUGGAAAAGCUUACUUUCAGGUGUUCGUUUUUUUCCACUCUCAUUCUCACACUGUGUGUGUGAUCUCUCUCGUUUGAAAUAUAUGUAACCAACCAGCAAAAGCUGUUUGUUUCUGAGCUAGUUAGUUUUUUUUUCUUCUUCUACGUACAGAUGAUGAUAUGGAUUCAAGGUCUGCGGACAAUGAAGACAAGACAACAAGUAUUGUUCUUCAGGACAAGUACUCUGAAACUGGUGAAUCUCCCUGGUAUUGCGACGUAUGCUCGUUGGCUUGCAAAAGCUUUGAAGAUUUUACCACGCAUCUCAAGAGUGGAACACAUGGAUUUUCUGUAACCCUCUCUCUCUCUGCUUCUAAAUAUUUGUAUCGAUACAUUUUUUCAUUAAUUAAUUAAUGUCUUACCAAAUGCAUGUUUCCCUUUCAAAGAAGAAAUUGCACUGAUGUGCAUUUGGUUGUUGUCAAGCAGGAGUGGGACCGGUGGGCAAGUAAAAACCUUGUGGAUCGUCGUUUCCCUUCUAACUUUGAAUGGGGUCGAUCAAAGGCAAGUUUCUUCAUUAUAUCUCUCAAGUAAUUAGAUUUACUAGAAGACCCCUUUCACAACUUUACAUUAUUGUGUCAUUGCCAUACAUGUUUCCCUUUUAAAGAAUCGAUCUAUAUAUACCUCUGAUUUCCGCUUUGAUGUGCGUUUGGUUGUCAAGCAGGAGUGGGACCGGCUCAAUUGUCUAGACCUGAUGGAUUGUGUUAGUCAUAUUCCGUAUGACCCUCUAGAUUAUCCCGAGGUGGAGAGUCCAUCAAAGGCAAGUUUCUCAUGACAUACCUAAUCGUAGAUAGCUUGGUUUUGGAUUUACUGACUUUGGUUGAUGCUCUAAACAAUUCAAGGAACAAGAGUGCAAGAGUGCAACAUUCAAGGUAAGCCUCUCUCUCUCUCUCUCUCUCUCUCUCUGCUUGCUUCUAAAUAUUGUAUCGAUACAUUUUUCAUUAAUUACAGUCUUACCACAUGCAUCUUUCCCUUUCAAAGAAAAAUUGCCCUGAUGUGCAUUUGGUUGUUUUGAGCAGGAGUGGGACUUAUGGGCUAAUCAAAACAAUGUGGAUCGUUGUAACCCUGCUAACUUUGAAUGGGGUCGAUUAAAGGCAAGUUUUUUAAAUUUCUCUCAAGGUUGAUCAGAUUUAUCGUUUUUUUUUUGAAAUUUACCGUUGCGUUUAACUAGAAGACCCCUUUCACAGCUUACCUUAUUGUGUCAUUGUCACAUGUUUCCCUUUCAAAGAAUCUAUACCUCUGAUUUCCGCUUGAUGUUGCAUUUGGUUUUCAAGCAGGAGUGGGACCGGCUCAACUGUCAAGACCUGUUGGAACGUAUUCGUCUUCGGUAUUACCCUCUAGACACUACCCAGGUGGAGAGUCCAUCACAGGCAAGUUUCUGAGAUACCUAAUCUUUUUAGUAUUAUUCACCAUUGAGUUCCAGCUAGAUGUGAAUGUAGAUAGCUUGUUUUUGGAUUUUACUGACUUUGGUUGAUGCUCUAAAACAUUCAAGGAACAAGAGUGCAGCAGUAGCAAGACUGAAGAAGAAGCUGAAGUAGAGGACCCGAAUUGCUCAUCUAGAGGAUGACACUGAAAUAGGCGAUGAAGAUGAGUACAUGGCUCAUGAAUAUGGUUAAUGGUUAAUGGUUUGUUCUACUUGUAGUGGGAACAAACAGAAGAAAUGUAGUUCCAAUAUAGGUAAUAAAAACCUGAAAUUUAUACAUUUGUAAGAUUUCUCGUCUGCUUUGAACACGUAGUUUGAUCACCUCCCAAAGUCUUGCUAGACAAAUUAACCGCCCUUCUAUCAAGUUCUAACUUCUAACUAUCAUCUAUCAGAUCAAAUACAUCAAAGUUGUUCUUCACAAAGGUGAAGAUGAAGAUUAAGAGUACAUGGCCCAUGGGGUCCCUAACUCUGAGACUGUUGAGAAAUGUACUGGUAACAACAUAAUUACUGUUAGGGCAACAAGAAUCUUGUACAUACUGAUGAGGUUAGGUAUAUUUGAUCCACAGGUUGCACAGGAAGAGGAGAAGUAGUAUGUCCAACGUGCAACGCCGAUGGUGAGCCAGGGUUUUACAAGGAGAAUCAGAUGAUGAAGUGUUCAUCUUGCUAUGGAAGAGGUUUGAUUGCUCAUAAAGAUGGAUCCGACACAAUGUAAGUUCAUAUCAACAACUCAACUUUCACAUUGAUGGUUGCAAACUGUAGCUCCUAUCUAAAGAAAACCUUCUCUUCUCCACAGAUGCGCUGCUUGUAACGGUAAGGGAAAGCUUCCUUGCCCAAUUUGCCAGUCUCGCGGAUUAAUCAAAUGUCAGUCUUGUAACGGUACUGGUUCUCUUCUAACAAGCAGUAUCGCAGUUGUGAGAUGGUAAGUUUUUCUCAAAUGGCUUUGACCAGCAAUUGAAAUUGGCUAUGAGUGGCUAUUGAAAGAUUUGCUUUCUUGACAGGAAGACUUUCUCGAAGCGAAAGGUGAGUGCAACAAGAGGAGCUGGUUUGGUACCAGAAGAGAUAUUUCACAGAGCAGAAGGAGUUUCAGCCAGCUUACUUUGCAGACUCAUAUUUCCUCAACAAAUUCUCCUCAGAGGUCAUCUCGUUGAGAGCUGAAGUUCCACCAACGGCGAAUGUGGUCUGCGAGAUACACACCAGAUCUGUUGUGCCGUGGGAAAGCCUUCAGCUUUUACAUAAUCGGUUUUGGUAAAGAGAUUUACAUGAAAGAUUAUUAUCCAGCAAGGUUCUGCUGGGGUUUGUGUCCUUGUCUUUAGUGGUUAAAGGUUUGAAAACCAGAGUUGAUUUUUGAUCAUCUCGACUUGUUAGUACAGAAACUGAGAGAGAGAGAGAUUGCUUGUAUACAGAGCGGUUAUUGUGUUGUGUAUAUAAUAUUGUGGCCAAAUACUUAAUUAAAUCUGGAACUUGAGAGUUUAAAGAAAGCACACAAAUUUCUCCAACUUACUAAUAUGUCAUUGUAUUUAAAGAAACUUACUAGCUUUAGUUUAAUAUUUGAAAUUCAAAUACUAAUAUCUUAUUGUAUUUUUUAAUUAUAUUCAUUCAUACUAAAAUUUCACAUACUAGAUUUUUGUUUUUUGGGUUUUUAAUGUUAUGCUUGAUCUACACAUAGGAUGAGGAAUCCACAUAGGAAGGUAAAAUACUCGAAAAUGAUGAUUAUCCAAAAAAGUUGAAAAUAUUUGAUAGGAUUCAUUUUUUAUAUUUUCUAGUAAGUGUAAGGAAAAAUGCGCUAAAUUUCAUUUUAGUAGCAGUUUUACAUAUUUAUUCUCAAAUACAUGAUCGAAUCAUUGUGAAUCUUUAAAAUUUUAUCAGUGAUCAUGUUUUAUUCUACAUAAAAGAUUAAAACUCUAAUUUAAAGUCAUAUCUGAUCUCAUCACUUCAUAGUUUAGGCAAAGAUAAAUUUGGUCUGUUUGUAUAAGAUUAUAGCUACUUACAUGGAAACAGUAAAGUUUUAUUUCUUAACGUAAAAUGCAAUUACAAGAAGAAAACAUAGAAACUUUAGUUUCAUAUGAAAUCUCUUGUGUUUAUUGAAAAUUUGGUGAAUAAUUAAGUUAUGUCUUGAAGAAAAAACUAAAAGCUGCUAGAAUAUGUAUAAAAUGAUAUUUAAACUUAAACAUAUCAUCUUCACUUUACAAGUAAUGAAGUAAACAAGUGAAAACUUUUAUUCUUAAACACGUGACAACUUUCUCCCAAAUCGUUUGAAAAGAUGUGUCAUGAGAAUUGCCCAAAAUCUGCAUUUUUGUGUUUUCUUAAUAAAUAUCCAUAUAGUUUUAGUGGAAAACAGAACUUUGAUUAUGUUGAUAUAUAUGUUGAAAUCUCAUAAUUUCUUAAUAAAUGGUUGUAUAUUCGGCUUGGAUUGAAUCCACUAUGAUCGGUUUCGAAUUGAAUUUAGUUUCAAAUUUUAAAAUUUUUAAUCAGUACACCAAUAGGUUCAUAUACACAAUUUACGUCGGCUUUGGUUUAAAUAUUUUAGUGCGUCGGAGUUGUAUUUUUAGUUAAGGUUUUUUCAGACUCAUGUAUUAAUGGUUCAAAGUGGGUUAAAUUGUCCUAACCAGCUACCUGCCUUGAUUUGAAUAUAAACUUUGAAUUUUUGGUUAUCUUGCUUAAUGUGAAUCCACUAAAAUCGGUUUCAAAUUGAGUUUAUUUUUGAAUUUUUGGAUUUUUUAAUCAACGACACUAAUAGUUUCAUAAAAAAAUACCACGACCACUAAUCGUGGAAUGUGAAGAUCUUUAAACAUAGAACCAAGUACCAACAUAUAAAUAAUCAAAAGAUUCGAUGAAAAAAUGAGACUCUAAAGACUUUGGAAUAGAAAAGUACAUGCUUAACUUUAGAUUUUUUUUUUUUUGGUUAUUUAAUGUUAUGCUUGAUCAUACAUCCAAAUCUACUGAGGAUUCCUCAUCCUAGGAAGGUGAAAUACUCGAAAAUGAUGAUUAUCCAAAAAAGUUGAAAAAUACCUGAUAGGAUUCAUUUUAAAUUUUCUAGUAAGUGUAAGCAAAAAUGCACUAAAGUUCAUUUUAGUAGCAAUUCUACAUAUUUAUUCUCAAAUACAAGAUCAAAUCAUUGUGAAUCUUUAAAAUUUUAUCAGUGAUCAUGUUUUAUACUACAUAAAAGAUUAAAACUCUAAUUCAAAGUCAUAUCUCAUCUCAUCACUUCAUAGUUUAGGCAAAGAUAAAUUUGGUCUGUUUGUAUAAGAUUAUAGCUACUUAUAUGGAAACAGUAAAGUUUUAUUUCUUAACGUAAAAUGCAAUUACAAGAAGAAAACAUAAAAACUUUAGUUUCAUAUGAAAUAUGUUGUGUUUAUUGAAAAUUUGGUGAAUAAUUAAGUUAUGUCUUGAAGAAAAAACUAAAAGCUGCUAGAGUAUGUAUAGAAUGAUAUUUAAACUUAAACAUAUCAUUUUCACCAUACAAGGAAUGAAGUAAACAAGUGAAAACUUUUAUUCUUAAACACGUGAUAACUUUCUCCCAAAUCGUUUGAAAAAAUAUGUCAUGAGAUUGCCUAAAAUCUGCAUUUUUGUGUUUUCUUAAUAAAUAUCCAUAUAUUUUUAGUGGAAAACAGAACUUUGAUUAUGUUGAUAUAUAAAAGCUUAAUUUUCUACUUACCUAUAUCAAAGAUUGAUUUUUUUUUUGUUGAAAACCUAGUUUUGAUUUUGUAGAUGAAAAAACUUUGGAAGGCUUGUUUUUUUCUUAAAUCUACUGAAGACUUGGCACAUACACUAAUUCGACCAAAACUUUGGAUGAGAAAUUAUUUGAAGCUAACUUUGGAGAAACAAAUUUCCAACUAUCAGUUGGACAAUUUUCAUUAAUUUCUAUUUAAACUUCUCUUAAACAAAUUUUUAAAAACCAUCAUUAACCAAAACAACACCAGUUUAUUUUACUUUUUUUUCGACACCAUUUUAUUUUACUUUAAAAUGAUAAAAUUCAUAAAUUGAUGUGUAAAUCCUUAAAUCAUGUUUUUCUCGAAAUCAAAAAUAGUCUUACUCCAAGUUCUUCUUCAUUCUCUUUUUAAAUUCCAAAUUUAUGUCAUAGUAAACCUGCAGACUUCAGAGGUGUUUUCUAUAUUAAAUUUCAUAUUAUAAAGGUGAAGAUGAAUAAGAGAAUCAGAAUUAGAAAAUCGAUUUGAAGGUUUCUCGAUUUUCAGCUAAAAGUGAGAGAUCGAUGUGCAGAAAAAUUGAUUUGGGGCUAUAUUCGAUUUAGGUUUAAAUUGGGGAUUUUUGAUUAUAAUCAAAAUGGUGUUUUUUUUGGUUGAAUAACGAUUUUAUCUGGAAUUUAAUGCUAUCUAAUGGAUAUGUUAAGCUAGUUUAGGAUGAGUUUAUAUUGGCAUGAUUAACAAAAGUAAGAAACUCAUGUGUCUUGAAAAGAGUUUAUAAUUUAUUAGGCUGAAAUGUUUUACAUUGAGGGUUUUUUAUAACGAAGCCCAAAAAAGCAAAGAAAAGCCCAAAAUUAUAAAAAAAAAACAUUGAGGGUUUUUUUAGCAAUUUUUCAAAAUUAGUUCCUCUCUCCCCCGCCGCUUCUCUCUGGGUUUCGGAUCCCACUAUAUAUAAGCGAGGUCGGUGAUUUUUAUUUAACCGUGUCAAUCUCUCCGAUGUUUAUCUGAUGUUUACGUUCUAGAUCGGUAGCUGCGAUUUCGUUUUCCCAAAUUUGAAUCGGAUCUGAUUUUUUUUUAGGUUGAAGAAGAAUAUAAAAAAACAAAUAGGAGCGAAAUGAUGCGGAACAUGGCGAUGCUGAGGAGAACUUUUGUGUGGUGGAACAUCGACAGCUGUCCGAUUCCAGCUGGUUUCGAUCCUUGUCUGGUCAGUCCGAGGAUUGAAUCGGCGUUGAAGAAAUCAGGCUACUCUGAUCCUGUCACCAUCACUGCCGUCGGCGACCUAAGAGAGGGAAAGGGCCCUGGUGAAGACGUCCUGCGCAAGCUUUCU
rnacentral:lncRNA from 1 species